rnacentral:lncRNA from 1 species
CCUCCCUAUUUUAAAUCAACGGACCAAUCCAUCCAAAUAUUGGAUAAAUCAAAUCAUUUUUUUUAUUUUUAUCAUAUAAUUUAAAUAUAUCCAAAAUUUAUUAAAACACUUAUUCAAAUAUUUCUCCGUUCGACAAAACUCUUCUUCACGUGAUCCAUCGCUAGCGCAAGUUGCCUCAAGAGAAACUAAGAAAAUGUAAUGACAUAAAUUCAUUUUUGCACAUGGAUUUUACAAUUCCACC